AUGUUGGUGUAUGCCCUGGUUUAAUAUUAUUGUUUAAUAAUGUAAGUUUGUAUAAUUUUAGUUAACCCAAAUCUAUGUGCUGCUUAUAAGAGUUUUUGUGUGUUACAUUGAUAGGAAUAUUGCUGCAAUAUGGCCUUGUGAGUGAUUCUUGUUAGGGGAAGAUGCAUAGUAAAGGAUGGUCCACCUAUUAAUUUACUCUUUUUAUGUUGGUGUAUGUCUGCUUUAAUAUUAUUGUUUAGUAAUGUAAGUUUGUGUAGUCUUUAUUUUAACCCU
rnacentral:rRNA from 1 species